rnacentral:lncRNA from 1 species
UCCAACGUUAGGCUCUCGGUCUCAGAACGUCUUGCAAAGCUGAGAAUAUCAAUGUGUCAACAGGUUAAUUAUUUACUUUUAAUAUCUCAAAAUAAGCUAAUUUUUUAGUAUUUAAUUGAUGAACUAAAUAGUUUUUGUCUAAUAAAUUGCAGAUGCAGUCUUUGGUGGAGAGCAUCUUCUGAUGCCUGUUUGUAUUUGUAAUAAAUAAAUUAAAUGCUUGAUUGCUUUUUCAAGUUGAUAUAUUUGUCGCUUGUGAUUUGUAAAACAUAUCUAUUUUGUUGCGUUAUGUAUAUUUACCUUUGGAAUUAGCAGUAGUUUUAUUUUCUUCUGUUCUUCAAGAAUAUAAA